rnacentral:rRNA from 1 species
GACGAACGCUGGCGGCGUGCUUAACACAUGCAAGUCGAACGAUGAAGGAGAGCUUGCUCUCCGGAUUAGUGGCGAACGGGUGAGUAACACGUGACUAACCUGCCCCUUUCUCUGGGAUAACGCUCCGGAAGGAGUGCUAAUACCGGAUACGAACUCUGAACACAUGUUCGGAGUUGGAAAGUUUUUCGGAAAGGGAUGGAGUCGCGGCCUAUCAGCUUGUUGGUGAGGUAAUGGCUCACCAAGGCGACGACGGGUAGUCGGCCUGAGAGGGCGACCGGCCACACUGGGACUGAGACACGGCCCAGACUCCUACGGGAGGCAGCAGUGGGGAAUAUUGCACAAUGGGCGAAAGCCUGAUGCAGCGACGCCGCGUGAGUGAUGAAGGCCUUAGGGUUGUAAAGCUCUUUUACCCGGGACGAUAAUGACUGUACCGGGAGAAUAAGCCCCGGCUAACUUCGUGCCAGCAGCCGCGGUAA